UUGAGAUUGAGCGCUUGUUAACCUAGCCGUCCCUGUCAAAUAUGAUGGUCUUCACUCUUCAGUCUUCACCCUCAAACCCUCUCCUCUCACGGACUCACUGUCUCACCAUUCCAUACUGCCGACUGCCACUGCCACCUCUCACCCCCUCAGUCCCUCACCGCCACCUCUCACGGACUCUCGACGUCACCGUCACGCUCACCGCAGCAAGGACUCGUCGCGCCCUUGAGUCCUCGCCGUCUUCCAAUGUUCGCCAUCUUCGCUGUCUUCGUAUCGGAGCGUCAUCGCCUCUUCGCCGGUCAUCUGCUCUUUCGUCGGAUUGAGGAGCAGCAAAAGAAAGCCUUAGAAGAAGAUCCAACUGUAUUUGAUUAUGAUGGAGUCUAUGACAAAAUAAAAGAGAAAGUUGCCCGCCCAUUGAUACUAGAUCGCGAAGAGAGAAAAGUAUGGUUACAAAGAAGGACUUUUUGCUUGAUUUUUAUACAAUCCUUGAUAAAAAUGUUGCAUAUUGUGCACAAGAUCCUCGAGGGAGAAAACAUGAGAAUCGAGUUGAGAAAAGAACUGCAGAGACAUGCGAAAGUGGAAGUCAAGGUAAUCGAUGACAGGGAAAGUGGAAGAUCAAGAGGCUUUGGAUUUGUGACUUACAGCAGCCUUGAAGAGGUCAACAGUGCUAUUGAGUCCUUAGAUGGCGCGGUAAUCAUGCGAAUCUACUCCUAGUAUCCCGUUUGCUAAUCACAAAUAACAAUUUAAUGAGUUUGAACUUGUCCAUUUGUAUAUGUUACAUCAUAUCAUUGUUUGAUUAUUUUGUAUUAGUUAUUUGUUUUUUUGUUCUUGAAAACAUAUGAAAAAGCUAAUAUUUCUGCAUUUUCUUAUUGCGACAUGUAUAUACUUUUUCUCUGUUGUUCUAUGGAAUCAUGAGCUUCCCCUGACUUAUGAUUUCCACAAUUAUAUGCUUCAAAGCAUGGAUGAUGAAUUUCGUGAUAUUGUUGGUGUUAGGUCGGUGGAACUGAAAGUCGGUGGAACUGGUGGACAUGUUCUUUAUGCAGUGGAUAUGCCAAGUCUUAGGUGUUGUUUAUAUUUUUCAUUUUUUUUUUAUUUUCAAUGUGCAAUGAGGAAUUGAGAUGUGUAAUGUAUAAUGAAUUUAUAGAAGCAAGAUCACAUUUGUACAGCCAUAUUGAAACAUCUCUAAAGAAGUGAGUGAAUAUGUAUUUUUAUGAUAUUUUAA